GGAUGAACGCUGGCGGCGUGCCUAAUACAUGCAAGUCGAGCGAACAGAUAAGGAGCUUGCUCCUUUGACGUUAGCGGCGGACGGGUGAGUAACACGUGGAUAACCUACCUAUAAGACUGGGAUAACUUCGGGAAACCGGAGCUAAUACCGGAUAACAUAUUGAACCGCAUGGUUCAAUAGUGAAAGGCGGCUUUGCUGUCACUUAUAGAUGGAUCCGCGCCGUAUUAGCUAGUUGGUAAGGUAACGGCUUACCAAGGCAACGAUACGUAGCCGACCUGAGAGGGUGAUCGGCCACACUGGAACUGAGACACGGUCCAGACUCCUACGGGAGGCAGCAGUAGGGAAUCUUCCGCAAUGGGCGAAAGCCUGACGGAGCAACGCCGCGUGAGUGAUGAAGGUCUUCGGAUCGUAAAACUCUGUUAUCAGGGAAGAACAAAUGUGUAAGUAACUGUGCACAUCUUGACGGUACCUUAUCAGAAAGCCACGGCUAACUACGUG
rnacentral:rRNA from 1 species